rnacentral:rRNA from 1 species
ACGGGUGAGGAAUGCAUCGGAAUCUACCCUGUCGUGGGGGAUAACGUAGGGAAACUUACGCUAAUACCGCAUACGACCGAGAGGUGAAAGUGGGGGACCGCAAGGCCUCACGCGAUUGGAUGAGCCGAUGCCGGAUUAGCUAGUUGGUGGGGUAAAGGCCUACCAAGGCGACGAUCCGUAGCUGGUCUGAGAGGAUGAUCAGCCACACUGGGACUGAGACACGGCCCAGACUCCUACGGGAGGCAGCAGUGGGGAAUAUUGGACAAUGGGCGCAAGCCUGAUCCAGCCAUGCCGCGUGUGUGAAGAAGGCCUUCGGGUUGUAAAGCACUUUUGUUCGGGAAGAAAUCGUGCGGGCUAAUACCCAGUACGGAUGACGGUACCGAAAGAAUAAGCACCGGCUAACUUCGUGCCAGCAGCCGCGGUAAUACGAAGGGUGCAAGCGUUACUCGGAAUCACUGGGCGUAAAGCGUGCGUAGGCGGUUGAUUAAGUCUGCUGUGAAAGCCCUGGGCUCAACCUGGGAACUGCAGUGGAUACUGGUCAGCUAGAGUGUGAUAGAGGAUGGUGGAAUUCCCGGUGUAGCGGUGAAA